rnacentral:lncRNA from 1 species
AGUUCAGUGAAAUGAUGAAAAAAUAGAUAUCUAUAAUAAUUAAUUUAUAUCGUUUUAACAUUACUUAUAAUAACUAACGUUAUUAUUAAUUAGCUUAACAUCAGUUCAGUAAAAUGAUAUAAUAACUAUUAAUUUAUAUCAUUUUAACAAAAUAAUAAUGUUACAUGAAUUUAUAUCAAUUAUAUAAUUAUAUCAUUUUUUAUUAAUAUUACUUACUAAAAUAUGUUCAAUUUUAUUAUUAUUAUUUUUAUUUUUCAGUGUUAUUAUUUUUGUUCAAUAAGAUUAUAUUUGUUUCCCUCUGUAAUUUUUUUUUCUUUUCUCCUAAAUUGAUUUACUUAGAUUUGAGAGUAUUCAACAAACGAAUCCCUGAAAUUUCGUUCCCUCUUUCUCUCUAACCAUGUUCUCCUAUUUUCUUGAUCCCCCUCUCUUCUUAUUUUCUUGCUCUCUCUGUAAUCUCGUAGAAUUUGAGAAGAUCAUCUCCUCUCCUCUUUUUGUUUUUUUUUUGCUCUCUAAGCAUGUAGAACUUGAGCAAUGAUGAUCAUAACUCUGUAAGUGUUAUGGCUGUAGGGAACUGUGGCAUUCGAGUCAUUGGCGGAAGAAUUUACAAUCUUAGACACCACCAAUGUUGCUACCAGGUGAAAACAUGAAAAUCUCUAUAAUUAUCCUCUCUGAUUCCACUAUCUCUUCUGUUUCUUAUGUUUAAACUAUUAUGGAUAUGUUGAUUUUGUUCAGGUUUGAUUUUGGCAUACUUAUUGCAUUGUUGACAUAAGAAGUUGGAAGUCGUCCAAGUCCAUGGAGAAAGACAAGCAGUGUUCAUGGAGAUAUGAAUAAUGAUUAGUUUUGCAAUGUUUUUUUUUUUUUUUUUGUAAAUGUAGUUUUGGAAUGUUGUUUAGCAAUUUUUUUUUGUCUAUUUAUGCUUUGUGAGUUUGUAUGAUGGAUGAAUUGUGUAUUUUUUAUAUAUACAAUUGUAGUUAAGAUUUGAAUUUUCUAUUUAAUUAAUUAUUUCGUAUGUGUUAAUAUAUAAUUUGUGGAAGUGAAUAAAUAUUUUAUAAUUUUUUAUUAUUAAUUUGUAUCAGUUAAAAAUCCGUAUAAAUUUAUUAUUUUAAAUCGAAAAUUUCAACUAAUAUACAUUUAAAUUUAUUUAGAAAAUAUAAUUAAUUUUAGAUUAUUUAUUAAUAAAUGACAUAAUUAUUCAAAUCACUUAUUUAAUUGAUAUCAUAGUAACAUCGAUUAUAAAAGUUGAUGUAAAUGUUAACAUCAUUUAUUGCAAUUGAUAUAUAUAUUGACAUCAAUUUUAUAGUUGAUACAAAUAUUUAAUAAAUUUACAUCAAUUAUUAAUCAAUUGAUACAAAUUAUUUGCAUCACCACUUUCAGAGUCAUUUAUAUAAAUGAUGCAAAAUUAUUUUACAUCACUUAUAACUAAUACAAAUAUUUAAAAUAAAUGAUGUAAAAUAGACUUUUUUUUGUAG